rnacentral:lncRNA from 1 species
ACUGGGGCAUCACUCCCGAUCUGUCUGCCCCGUUAUCUCAGACCCACAGAGGAAGCGCCCAGCCCGGGAGGACAGAGCUGUGAAUGAGCCCACACAGGAAGAGUAAAAUUCAGAAGUUUGCUGAAUGCGAAUGGGCUGCUCUGGCUGAAAUGAGCUCCUUCCAGGAUGGCUCUGUGCUCACUUCACAACUCCUCAUCUUAAAACACAUGAACAUCCCUGGAGAAACAGACAAUUCUGAGAAAUCACUUUCUGCCAGAAGCUGGGGCAAGGAGCCAGAAUCCUUACAAUGCCAGGAAGUCAACACCGACUUGCUCUAUUGGCCUGGACACAGUGACUUGUCGCUUCCUGCCAGUACCCUUGGGAAUGACCAGUCUUGCCUCUGGAAGAGAGGACUCUUGUCUGAAAAGAUAAUUUUCCAUAAAAAAGAAAAUCCUCCCUGAAUCCCUGCCCUCUAGUCCCUUCCUUUGCUAGCCACAGUAUCUCACUCCACAGCAAGGGCCUCAUGAGCUGAGUGGCCUAUACCUGAGCUCUUGAAGAGUCAAAAGUGCCCUAGAUGGGUGGCGGUGGGAGUUCACCCAGUCGGUGAGAUGCCUGCACCCCGUAUCUCAGUGUCCCCCACGUCUGAGUGCCCGGGUUCAAGUCCCAAUUCUAGAUUCCUGCUAUUGCAGAUCCUGGGAGGCAGGAGCGAUGAUUGAAGUAACUGGAUUCCUGCCAGCCAUGUGGGAGAUGUGGGAGACGUGCUCUGAGUUCCUGGCUGCCGCCUGCAGCCUGGCCCAGCUCCAACCACUGCAGGCAUUUGGGGAGGUGAACCAGCAGAUGGGAGCUUGCUUCUGCCCGUCUGUCUCUCAAAGAAAGAAUUAUUUUAAUGAGGAUUCUAAGUUUAUAUUUAAAAAGGUGGUAGUAAGACAGACUUGAUACCAAAAAUAAUACUGGGGACAGAUUGUUUAGAGUAUUGGCAUCCAGUGGUGUACAUUGAGUCUACCUUUGUCUGACAUUCUCUGAUUAAUGAUAAAAAGAAGAUACAAUGUAAAUUGAAUAUUAAGUGACAUUUUGAUUGUCAAAGAUUCAGGAUCUCACGAGGUCAACAAAAGUGAUGGUGGAGAACAGCUUGAACCGCAUUCAAAACCAGUGACCAGCGAGGUCUUGGUAGUAUCAACCAAAGAACAAAAACCAGAAAGGAUAGUGACGUGUCAAUUUCAAAGGGAAUGAGUCAAGUAUCAAAGGAUUUAAAGUGGUCCUUAAAAAAAAUAUAUGAAGCCCUUAAUUUGGUAAAUGCUACCAUUUUAUAAUUAUGCUGUGUCAAAUAUGAGGUGAAGUUGGUAAUUUUGAGCUAUUAAUUUUUUUCAGAAAUGUUAUAUAUCAGUAAAACUCCUCUAAUGGGCAAGCCUUAAUCUUUGCUGUUUCUGAGAAUAAUUUCACUAUAUUAUAUACAGAAUAUAA